UUUCGCCUACGGGACGCAGCAGUGGGGAAUAUUGCACAAUGGGCGAAAGCCUGAUGCAGCAACGCCGCGUGAAGGAAGAAGGGUUUCGGCUCGUAAACCUCUAUCAACAGGGACGAAAGAAAUGACGGUACCUGAAUAAGAAGCCCCGGCUAACUACGUGCCAGCAGCCGCGGUAAUACGUGGGGGGUAAGCGUUAUCCGGAAUUACUGGGUGUAAAGGGGGAGUAGGCGGCAUGGUAAG
rnacentral:rRNA from 1 species